rnacentral:snRNA from 1 species
UGCUCACUGCGGCAGCACAUAUACUAAAAUAGGAAUG